rnacentral:rRNA from 1 species
ACGCACGCUGGCGGCGUGCUUAACACAUGCAAGUCGAACGGAAAGGCCCCUUUGGGGGUCCUCGAGUGGCGAACGGGUGAGUAACACGUGAGUAACCUGCCCUUGACUUCGGGAUAACUUCAGGAAACUGGGGCUAAUACCGGAUAGGAAUCCUUGCUGCAUGGUGGGGGUUGGAAAGCUUCGGCGGUUUUGGAUGGACUCGCGGCUUAUCAGCUUGUUGGUGGGGUAGUGGCUUACCAAGGCUUUGACGGGUAGCCGGCCUGAGAGGGCGACCGGCCACAUUGGGACUGAGAUACGGCCCAGACUCCUACGGGAGGCAGCAGUGGGGAAUAUUGCACAAUGGGCGGAAGCCUGAUGCAGCAACGCCGCGUGCGGGAUGACGGCCUUCGGGUUGUAAACCGCUUUCAGCAGGGGCGAAGCUUGUGGUGACGGUACCUGCAGAAGAAGCACCGGCUAACUACGUG